rnacentral:rRNA from 1 species
UACGAGGGGGGCGAGCGUUGUUCGGAAUUAUUGGGCGUAAAGGGUGCGUAGGCGGUUUGGUAAGUCUUGUGUGAAAUCUUCGGGCCCAACUCGAAGUCUGUACGAGAAACUGCCGGGCUUGAGUAUGGGAGAGGUGAGUGGAAUUCCCGGUGUAGCGGUGAAAUGCGUAGAUAUCAGGAGGAACACCUGUGGCGAAAGCGGCUCACUGGACCAUAACUGACGCUGAUGCACGAAAGCUAGGGGGAGCAAACAGG